UGCGUGCGUGCGUGUAUGUGCAUGUGCAUGUGCAUGUGCAUGCGGGUUCACCUGUGGUGGUGAGUUCUGGUUAAGUCAAGUGAUCUAGAGGUGUGUGGGUGACCAGAACUUUCAACCCACCUGCGGCUCAGCGCUGUGACUCAUCCACACUUGCUGCUUUCUUCUGAUCUACUGUCACGUGAUGCCCUGAAGUCAUGGACCUGAGCCAUAUUUACAGACCAGACUAUCAGGGUGCAGGACUCUUAUGGCCCGGACCGGUGCGCAGAAGCCAUGAUGCUCAGCACUGGGACGAAGCUCCAGGAGAAUCACAGCGACAGCUGCCCAUCAGAGCAGAUGACACACUCGCUCCUCUGAUGUUCGGACAGACUGAUGAAAAACGAAGGAAAAAAGCUGCGGUCUGAUCUGGGAUCAGUCAUCUUGUCUGUAUUGUAAUCUCGUGUGUGUUCAGCUGAUCUGUGGUCAACAAGAGGCCAACAACACAGUAGUGAAGUGAGUUCAUGUGAACUGAGUCACUCUUAGAUUCUGACAUGUGAAUAAAUGCCGCU
rnacentral:lncRNA from 1 species